GGAUCCAGACUUCGAUUCUGGCUCAGGAUGAACGCUAGCUACAGGCUUAACACAUGCAAGUCGAGGGGAAACGAUAUUGGAAGCUUGCUUCCGAUAGGCGUCGACCGGCGCACGGGUGAGUAACGCGUAUCCAACCUGCCCAUCACUUGGGGAUAACCUUGCGAAAGUAAGACUAAUACCCAAUGAUAUCUCUAGAAGACAUCUGAAGGAGAUUAAAGAUUCAUCGGUGAUGGAUGGGGAUGCGUCUGAUUAGCUUGUUGGCGGGGUAACGGCCCACCAAGGCGACGAUCAGUAGGGGUUCUGAGAGGAAGGUCCCCCACAUUGGAACUGAGACACGGUCCAAACUCCUACGGGAGGCAGCAGUGAGGAAUAUUGGUCAAUGGGCGAGAGCCUGAACCAGCCAAGUAGCGUGCAGGAUGACGGCCCUAUGGGUUGUAAACUGCUUUUAUAAGGGAAUAAAGUGAGCCUCGUGAGGCUUUUUGCAUGUACCUUAUGAAUAAGGACCGGCUAAUUCCGUGCCAGCAGCCGCGGUAAUACGGAAGGUCCGGGCGUUAUCCGGAUUUAUUGGGUUUAAAGGGAGCGUAGGCCGGAGAUUAAGCGUGUUGUGAAAUGUAGAUGCUCAACAUCUGCACUGCAGCGCGAACUGGUUUCCUUGAGUACGCACAAAGUGGGCGGAAUUCGUGGUGUAGCGGUGAAAUGCUUAGAUAUCACGAAGAACUCCGAUUGCGAAGGCAGCUCACUGGAGCGCAACUGACGCUGAAGCUCGAAAGUGCGGGUAUCGAACAGGAUUAGAUACCCUGGUAGUCCGCACGGUAAACGAUGGAUGCCCGCUGUUGGUCUGAAUAGGUCAGCGGCCAAGCGAAAGCAUUAAGCAUCCCACCUGGGGAGUACGCCGGCAGCGGUGCAACUCAAAUGAAUUGACGG
rnacentral:rRNA from 1 species